UGGGGAAUAUUGGACAAUGGGCGAAAGCCUGAUCCAGCCAUGCCGCGUGUGUGAAGAAGGUCUUCGGAUUGUAAGCACUUUAAGUUGGGAGGAAGGGCAGUAAGUUAAUACCUUGCUGUUUUGACGUUACCGACAGAAUAAGCACCGGCUAACUCUGUGCCGG
rnacentral:rRNA from 1 species